GUGGGGAAUAUUGGACAAUGGGCGAAAGCCUGAUCCAGCCAUGCCGCGUGUGUGAAGAAGGUCUUCGGAUUGUAAAGCACUUUAAGUUGGGAGGAAGGGCAGUAAGUUAAUACCUUGCUGUUUUGACGUUACCGACAGAAUAAGCACCGGCUAACUUCGUGCCAGCAGCCGCGGUAAUACGAAGGGUGCAAGCGUUAAUCGGAAUUACUGGGCGUAAAGCGCGCGUAGGUGGUUUUGUAAGUUGGAGGUGAAAUCCCCGGGCUCAACCUGGGAACUGCCACCAAAACUGCAUGAAUAGAGUACGGUAGAGGGUAGUGGAAUUUCCUGUGUAGCGGUGAAAUGCGUAGAUAUAGGAAGGAACACCAGUGGCGAAGGCGACUACCUGGACUGAUACUGACACUGAGGUGCGAAAGCGUGGGGAGCAAACAGGAUUAGAAACCCUAGUAGUCC
rnacentral:rRNA from 1 species